GAGGUGACCAAUUAUUCUAAAGUCUGUUCUGACCAUUUUGUGACAGGAAAGCCUGCUGAUUUGUACAACCGGACGCAUCCAGGCAUCUUUAUUGGUGAAUGAGGGCGAACGACACCCUGUUAGCCAAGAUGCUGAAGAUGGCCAGACCUCGCUACAACAGAGCCAAGAGUCAUCGUGAAAAAAACAAUUCAGCACGUAACUGCAGGGGCAAUCUUUAAGCUAAGCCACGAACCAGAUACGGAUCUUGAAGGACAACAUGAUGAAACAGUCAAAUGUAAAUUCCUUUGGGCCCACAACAAUUCAGCGAGCCCGUAAUUGAGCCUAGCUUGAAGAGACUGUGACUAAACUGAGAUCAGAAUAUCAAAGAACACUAAAUUAAAAUCAGAAUUUGCGUCAAAAGUUAU